rnacentral:lncRNA from 10 species
UAGGUGUGUAGGAGGCUGUGCCAUCUAGGUUUGUGUAAGUACUCUAUGAUGGUCACAUAAUGAUGAAAUUACCUAAAGGUGCAUUCCUCAGAACAUAUCUCUGUCAUUAAGCAACACAUGACUGUAAUUGUGUCGUGCUCAGAGACGGCUGGGAAUAUUGGCUGUUUCCACAAGACAGACUGGAAAGCCUCAUUCACGGAGCAUUGGGUAGAGUGCAUAGAAUGGGCCUUGCCUCAGCUGUGGGAAACCAUUAGCCCUAGACUGAACACUGUCCCUGUCUUGCCUAACAAGUGUUUAAAGCAAGGCCUGAAAGCAUCAAACUAUUUCUAAGUAGCUUAACUGAAUUCUAGAACAAAGCUCAAGAAGAUUUAUAGGGAUACAAAAACAUCCAGCACCUAGAAAGGUAAAAUCCACAAUGUAAUCUCCAAACUAGCAAGGAUGCAGAAAAGCAGGAAAAUAGGACCCAUAAUGAGAUAAAAAGUGACAUGUUAGAAUUCAGACAGUAUUCCAUAUGUUCAAAAAGUAGAGACAUGGAAGAUAGAUGUCAAUCCAACUUCUAGAGAUGAAAACUGCAGUGUGUGAAAUGUAAAACCUACUGUAUGGGUUUAAUGGCAGAUUGGACAUUGUGGAAGAAAAGAUUCAUGAGUUUGAAGAAGACAUAGCAAUAGAAACUAAUCAAAGUCACACCAAAAAAAUAGUCUAUCAGUGAGCUGUGCAUAAGUUUAAGCACCCUAGUGUGUAAUGGGAGUAGGGGAAGGGAGCAUACAAAGUAUUUGAAGAAAUGAUAGCUUAAAAAUUUGAUGGAAACCAUAAACCCACAGAUUCAAGAAGAUAUGAACUCCAAGCACAAGAAGCAUAAAAAAACCACACCACCCAGGCGUGGUGGCUCACGCCUGUAAUUCCAACACUUUGAGAGGCUGAGGCAGGAGGAUUGCUUUGAGGCCAGGUGUUUGAGACCAGCCUGGGCAAUGUGGAGAGACCCUGUCUCUUAAACAAAAACCCAAACCAGAGUACACCAUAAUCAAAUUGUUUAAUACCAGUGAUAAAGAUAAAAUCUUAAAUGGACUAGGGGCAAAAAGGUACUGUUUUCAAGUGACUUGGAAAUAGUUACAAAGGUAAGAAGUUACAUUUCUUAUAGGGAACAAUUUGAGAAGCCAGUAGAGCAACAUAUUUCAAGUACCAAACAGAGAAAAACCCUGUCAACCUAAAAUUACAGGCGUGAUAAAUUGACCAUCUUAUACCAGGAAGUCAAAUGAGAAGACAUCAGUAAAAAUAUUCUGGCCAACUCAUGUUUUAUUUAUCAUAUCUUCAUCAUUAAUUGCUUCUCAUAAUGCCACAGUUUGUCAUGGUAUUUGUGGCAGCAGGCAAAGUCCUUGUUCAGACUUUGAUUAAAUUGCUGUGGCAUUUUUCUAUUAAAAAGAUCUCCUGUUUCAAUCUAUAGUUUGCCUG